UGCAUUGCUUUUUUUAUCGAAUCCAAACAAUUAGUUGAUUAAACAUCGAUUGAAAAUUUGUACAAAACAAAAUACACUUUUAAUGGAAAGGCUUUUAUACAACAAACUUAAUGCCAACAAUUCCCCGCCUCUUGUGACAUCUCAAACUAAUUCACGUGCCUCACUUACACGAUCAAGAGUCAGCCGGAGUCGAGAGCUAUUAGUCUUCACACUGGUCUGAGAGAAAAAUGGCAUCACUCUGAACUACGGCACCAAAAACAAGCAUUUGAGCCCCAGAGAGCUGACACUUUCAAGCCCUCCGGCAAAGCCUCUGGACUGAUAUG